GGGCCCGCACAAGCAGCGGAGCAUGUGGUUUAAUUCGAAGCAACGCGAAGAACCUUACCCAGACUUGACAUUAGACGCAUUACUUUGUAAUGAAGGAAACCCUUCGGGGCGUCCAAACAGGUGGUGCAUGGUUGUCGUCAGCUCGUGUCGUGAGAUGUUGGGUUAAGUCCCGCAACGAGCGCAACCCUUGUUGCUAGUUGCCAGCAGGUAAAGCUGGGCACUCUAGUAAGACCGCCGGGGUUAACUCGGAGGAAGGUGGGGAUGACGUCAAAUCAUCAUGCCCCUUAUGUCUGGGGCUACACACGUGCUACAAUGGUGAAAACAAAAAGAUGCAAGACAGUGAUGUGGAGCAAAACUUAUAAAAUUCAUCUCAGUUCGGAUUGCAGGCUGAAACUCGCCUGCAUGAAGUUGGAGUUGCUAGUAAUCGCGAAUCAGAAUGUCGCGGUGAAUACGUUCCCGGGCCUU
rnacentral:rRNA from 1 species